CCUACGGGAGGCAGCAGUAGGGAAUAUUGCUCAAUGGGGGAAACCCUGAAGCAGCAACGCCGCGUGGAGGAUGAAGGUUUUCGGAUUGUAAACUCCUUUUGUUAGAGAAGAUAAUGACGGUAUCUAACGAAUAAGCACCGGCUAACUCCGUGCCAGCAGCCGCGGUAAUACGGAGGGUGCAAGCGUUACUCGGAAUCACUGGGCGUAAAGAGCGCGUAGGCGGGAUAGCAAGUCAGAUGUUAAAUCCUAUGGGUUAACCAUAGAACUGCAUUUGAAACUGUUAUUCUAGAGUAUGGGAGAGGUAGGUGGAAUUCUUGGUGUAGGGGUAAAAUCCGUAGAGAUCAAGAGGAAUACUCAUUGCGAAGGCGACCUGCUAGAACAUAACUGACGCUGAUGCGCAAAAGCGUGGGGAGCAAACAGGAUUAGAUACCCGAGUAGUC
rnacentral:rRNA from 1 species